rnacentral:lncRNA from 1 species
UGAAGUGUUUGUUGUUUUGUUUGAGAGAGUGCUACAUCGACCAAAUGUUGGAAGAUUCUUGAAUCGAAAUUCGUUAAUGGAAGCUAACAUGCAGAGGAAGAAGAUUGAUAUGAAACAUGAGAGAAUGAAACGUUUUCUGUUUGGUUUUGGGGACUUGAACACCACCAUUGUUUUGUUGAAGAUUUGGAAAUGAAAAAAAA